rnacentral:tRNA from 1 species
GGAGGGGUACCAAAGUGGCCAACUGGGGCAGACUGUAAAUCUGUUGGCGGACGCCUCGAAGGUUCGAAUCCUUCCCCCUCCACCA